AGAAUUCUGAACAAAGGAUUUCCGAUAGAGGAAGAGGAGGAUAGCUCACCCAAUUUACCGGGAGUUUCCUAGCGCGAUGUGAUCUGGCCACCCAAUCAGCCGCCCUAUUUGCUUCGCGUGGACAGUAGAGGACCUGGAUGGGAAUACGAGACUUCAUCAGUUCUCGGCAUUUUGCAGUAAUGGCCUUUAAGUUCCAUGGGGUUCGGCCCGGCCCAGAACCAUCUCCACCAAAUUAAAGCUGUCGCUUUCAACCACCCAUCUAACCGGUUGACUGAAGGAGUUCUGCACGUGCGACUCUUCUUUUUCCUUCAAGUACAUGAACCCGUGCAGGAGAGAGAGAGCUUCGGCUUGUUGAGAGGAUGAAGCCCUAGCUUCGCAGGCGAAACCCGCGACCACCAACCCAUUCGAAUCGCGGAUGAUUCCGGCGAUUGAGCAGAGAAACUCGCCUGGGAGCCACGAAGCGUCGAUGUUGAGUUUCAGAUCUUCCCCAUCCGGCGGCUUCCACCAUCCGGAUCCACGAGAUCUGCUGGUUGCGGUGGGUUUGGCUCUGAAAAUGAAGUGAUUCCGGGACUUCCAGAUGUUCCAGAGGACAGUCGCGAUGAGUUCUUGCUCCGGUGAUGUAAAACUUCUUGGACGAUGAGGAUAUUAUCCUGGAUUUGGCGUCCUUGGACAAAGGCACCC